UACCCGGCCGUCGGGGCA
rnacentral:sRNA from 1 species